AUACGGAGGGUGCAAGCGUUGUUCGGAAUUACUGGGCGUAAAGCGCGCGUAGGCGGCUAUUUAAGUCAGAUGUGAAAGUCCACGGCUCAACCGUGGAAGUGCAUUUGAAACUGAAUGGCUUGAGUACUGGAGGGGGUGGUGGAAUUCCCGGUGUAGAGGUGAAAUUCGUAGAUAUCGGGAGGAAUACCGGUGGCGAAGGCGACCACCUGGCCAGAUACUGACGCUGAGGUGCGAAAGCGUGGGGAGC
rnacentral:rRNA from 1 species